rnacentral:lncRNA from 1 species
UCGAUAGCAGCUGAUAGUCUUUGUUGCUUACCUCUGAUCCUCAUUACUCUAAUGAUCUGGUACUGUCAAACUUGUUUUUAGACCACAGGCAUUUGGGAGUGAAUACUCCUCUGUCAUGUUGGUAGAUAACUAUUCCUUAGAUUCUAUCAAAUAGUGCAAGUCGUAUUUGCACACUACUGCACUCCUUAUUGGAAUUAAAGACUAUGUUGUUGUUGUUGUUGUUAUUAUUUGUGGGGGCGGG